rnacentral:rRNA from 1 species
GCUGGGUAGCUAUGUACGGAAGGGAUAAGCGCUGAAAGCAUCUAAGCGUGAAGCCCCCCUCAAGAUGAGAUUUCCCAAUUAGUAAGACCCCUUGAAGACGACGAGGUAGAUAGGUUGGGGGUGGAAGUGCAGUAAUGCAUGGAGCUGACCAAUACUAAUCGGUCGAGGGCUUAUCCUAAAGAUAAGACGCAAGGA